ensembl:lncRNA
UUCCUGCAGGUGCUCCCGGUGCUGGGGAAAUGUCACUGUGAGAAGAAUAGAAAACUUAUUCCAAAGAGUAUUGAAGACUGACUGAAUCAGGUCUGGAACAUUAUUGAAACGGAUAAUUAUGCGUUGAAGAAAAAGGCAUUCAAUGAGGAGCAAAUGGCAAAAGCAAAUGUGUUAAGAUUCUAAAAAUGACUACUAUCCUAGUAAAAAAUGACUACAUUUUAUACUAUGUGCUACACACACACACAUACUCACCUGAUCAGAUGGGCGCUACGGAGUGUGUCUGAAGGCAGCAGGUUUUGCCAAUUGUUCUUAUCCGGUUUCUUCAGUUGACUGACAAAAUACCAAUAAAUGCGCAGUUAGGACGAAAGUGAACUAAACAGAAGUAACGAAACUGAUUUCAUUUGGGGAAAUGUUUUCAAUGGCUGGGACAAUAUUCUGGCCACGGAAAUCCAAGAGCAGGUGUUAAUGCGAGUUCUGGGUUGACCAAGAUCACCGAGCCAGGAAGAGUGACUCUCUUUUCUCUCUGCUGUUCUGGCAACUGUCAUCCUGUAACGAAGCCAUCUUGGGUCAUGGCAGAGUCCGAAAGAGGGAGGUUAUGAGCUGAGAACGGUGAAAGUGACAAUUGAGACACGGAUGCUUCAUGGCUCCACGGACUGUCUGCCACUGACCUGCCUAUCUCUGGAUUCUCU